ensembl:lncRNA
AGGGGUGGUUCUUGAGGCAGGAGUUUGAUUUGGAUGAGACUGAGCUGAGUGGUGCUGGAGGGAGGAGACAAGCGAGCAGCCCUAGCAGCUGCAAGGGGGAGAAUCCAGCGCUGCUCGGCUCAGAGGCCUCCCCUUGACGCCCUCCUGGGGGUCCCGCACAGCCCCCUGCUUUUAGGGGUGCAGCUUGAGGACUUGUCAGCCCCUAACUUCCAGCUGGGCUUAGUGCUGACUGCCUAACAAGAGGAACUCUUGGCCCUCAGCAGUGGUGAUGGCUGUCGCUGAGGGAGACCAGCCAGAGGAAGGACAUGUGCCAGCCCAUGGAAACGCCACAGCCAAAUCUGUGCUUCCACUGUUGAGAAAUCAUAUUGAAACUCUGCAAACGGACGUCAGGGAGUCACCAGCCCCUGGGCCUCACGGCCCUGCAUCUCAGCCACAGACUUGGAGACUCCCUGAUGUCCACGGCAGAGCUGGCUGGGGACGAUGGAGUGAAGAAGCCAGGCUUUGGCUCUGGGGGAGGCCUGGUGAGGAGUCUGGGUAUGUGGGGGUGCAGGGGCAAUGGCCUCCCCAGGCUCCAGCAAGGAUGCAGGCAGACAGGCCCUGGGCACCUUCAGGACUCACUCUCCCUGACGCCUGGUGGCCUGGGUUGGAGUCGCAGUACUGCUGCAUGAUCUUGGACAGGUUGCUUAACCUGCCUCACCCAUUUCCUCCCUGCAGAGCAGGGAGGAAAGCACCCACCAUCGGGGGUGCUUGGGCCUCGAGUGAUCAUGUGGGUCCACCACGCCUGGGCCAGUGUCUGCAGAGCCCUGCAGGGGAGCAGUGGGCACUGUUGACCUGGCCUUGGUCAGGGGCUGAGGAUUUAGCAAGCUCUGACCACAGGUCCUGCCCCCAGAGUGGACGGGGCUCCUGUGGACAGGAGCAGCCCCAGGGGCCCCAGGGUAGAAGGGCUGGGGACACCAUGCAGGGAGGUGGGAGACAGGAGAGGCUGGGAGGCUGCAGGAGCUGUGCCAUGGGAGCUGCUGCCUGUGUUGGGUCUGGCAGCCCAGGGGGUCCUGAGGGUUCUUCUGCCCUAGAGCAGCCCUGGCCUGGGGGCGGGGCAUGGAAGCUGAGGGGCUGGAGCUGCUUCAGCCCCAUAUUCUUGCCCCCACCUCCGAGUCUCCAUCCUGUGGCUCAGCAGCUGCUGCUGAGCCUGUGCUGGGGGCGGCCUCAGUUGGGGGUGCUGAGGGCCCUCUCCCCUCUAAGAGGUUCAGCCACACAGAGCACCGUCCUGUGCACCUGCUGCUUCCUGGGAUGCCGGCACCGCGGGUCUCUCCACUGAGGCAAAGCGCUGGGGACAGCAGGGAGCCCCACGGGUCUGCUCUCCAAGGACCCUCCAGAGGUCCUCCUCUGUCGCUGUCCACUACCCUCCCCGGGGCGCACUCAGAGGUCGACGUGGAGGUGGAACCCGGCUGGACCCUGAGAGGCAGGGGCACCUGGGCCUUCCCUCCCCAGGCAGGCGGCAGGGCCUGGGCUGUCACUGGAUGCUCCGGGUGGGCCAGCGGGGAGGUGGCCGACCAUCGGGCAGCGGAUCUUUCACACCAUCUCUCUGGACCUGCAAACAUUCUCGAUAACGCCAGCAGGGGGCGGGG